rnacentral:tRNA from 1 species
ACUAAAGUAGUCUACUUAAGACCUCUGAUUUCGACUCAGAAGACCUUUACAUUAAAGCUUUAGA